rnacentral:rRNA from 2 species
UUGGUGCUUGCAUCAUGAUUUACAUUUGAGUGAGUGGCGAACUGGUGAGUAACACGUGGGAAACCUGCCCAGAAGCGGGGGAUAACACCUGGAAACAGAUGCUAAUACCGCAUAACAACUUGGACCGCAUGGUCCGAGCUUGAAAGAUGGCUUCGGCUAUCACUUUUGGAUGGUCCCGCGGCGUAUUAGCUAGAUGGUGGGGUAACGGCUCACCAUGGCAAUGAUACGUAGCCGACCUGAGAGGGUAAUCGGCCACAUUGGGACUGAGACACGGCCCAAACUCCUACGGGAGGCAGCAGUAGGGAAUCUUCCACAAUGGACGAAAGUCUGAUGGAGCAACGCCGCGUGAGUGAAGAAGGGUUUCGGCUCGUAAAACUCUGUUGUUAAAGAAGAACAUAUCUGAGAGUAACUGUUCAGGUAUUGACGGUAUUUAACCAGAAAGCCACGGCUAACUACGUGCCAGCAGCCGCGGUAAUACGUAGGUGGCAAGCGUUGUCCGGAUUUAUUGGGCGUAAAGCGAGCGCAGGCGGUUUUUUAAGUCUGAUGUGAAAGCCUUCGGCUCAACCGAAGAAGUGCAUCGGAAACUGGGAAACUUGAGUGCAGAAGAGGACAGUGGAACUCCAUGUGUAGCGGUGAAAUGCGUAGAUAUAUGGAAGAACACCAGGGGCGAAGGCGGCUGUCUGGUCUGUAACUGACGCUGAGGCUCGAAAGUAUGGGUAGCAAACAGGAUUAGAUACCCUGGUAGUCCAUACCGUAAACGAUGAAUGCUAAGUGUUGGAGGGUUUCCGCCCUUCAGUGCUGCAGCUAACGCAUUAAGCAUUCCGCCUGGGGAGUACGGCCGCAAGGCUGAAACUCAAAGGAAUUGACGGGGGCCCGCACAAGCGGUGGAGCAUGUGGUUUAAUUCGAAGCUACGCGAAGAACCUUACCAGGUCUUGACAUACUAUGCAAAUCUAAGAGAUUAGACGUUCCCUUCGGGGACAUGGAUACAGGUGGUGCAUGGUUGUCGUCAGCUCGUGUCGUGAGAUGUUGGGUUAAGUCCCGCAACGAGCGCAACCCUUAUUAUCAGUUGCCAGCAUUAAGUUGGGCACUCUGGUGAGACUGCCGGUGACAAACCGGAGGAAGGUGGGGAUGACGUCAAAUCAUCAUGCCCCUUAUGACCUGGGCUACACACGUGCUACAAUGGAUGGUACAACGAGUUGCGAACUCGCGAGAGUAAGCUAAUCUCUUAAAGCCAUUCUCAGUUCGGAUUGUAGGCUGCAACUCGCCUACAUGAAGUCGGAAUCGCUAGUAAUCGCGGAUCAGCAUGCCGCGGUGAAUACGUUCCCGGGCCUUGUACACACCGCCCGUCACACCAUGAGAGUUUG